UACGAAGGGGGCUAGCGUUGUUCGGAAUCACUGGGCGUAAAGGGCGCGUAGGCGGCCGAUCAAGUCGGGGGUGAAAGCCUGUGGCUCAACCACAGAAUUGCCUUCGAUACUGUUUGGCUUGAGACCGGAAGAGGUUAGUGGAACUGCGAGUGUAGAGGUGAAAUUCGUGGAUAUUCGCAAGAACACCAGUGGCGAAGGCGGCUGACUGGUCCGGUUCUGACGCUGAGGCGCGAAAGCGUGGGGAGCAAACAGG
rnacentral:rRNA from 1 species